GGCGGCAGGCCUAACACAUGCAAGUCGAACGGACCCUUCGGGGUUAGUGGCGGACGGGUGAGUAACACGUGGGAACGUGCCUUUAGGUUCGGAAUAGCUCCUGGAAACGGGUGGUAAUGCCGAAUGUGCCCUUCGGGGGAAAGAUUUAUCGCCUUUAGAGCGGCCCGCGUCUGAUUAGCUAGUUGGUGAGGUAAUGGCUCACCAAGGCGACGAUCAGUAGCUGGUCUGAGAGGAUGAUCAGCCACAUUGGGACUGAGACACGGCCCAAACUCCUACGGGAGGCAGCAGUGGGGAAUCUUGCGCAAUGGGCGAAAGCCUGACGCAGCCAUGCCGCGUGAAUGAUGAAGGUCUUAGGAUUGUAAAAUUCUUUCACCGGGGACGAUAAUGACGGUACCCGGAGAAGAAGCCCCGGCUAACUUCGUGCCAGCAGCCGCGGUAAUACGAAGGGGGCUAGCGUUGCUCGGAAUUACUGGGCGUAAAGGGCGCGUAGGCGGAUCGUUAAGUCAGAGGUGAAAUCCCAGGGCUCAACCCUGGAACUGCCUUUGAUACUGGCGAUCUUGAGUGUGAGAGAGGUAUGUGGAACUCCGAGUGUAGAGGUGAAAUUCGUAGAUAUUCGGAAGAACACCAGUGGCGAAGGCGACAUACUGGCUCAUUACUGACGCUGAGGCGCGAAAGCGUGGGGAGCAAACAGGAUUAGAUACCCUGGUAGUCCACGCCGUAAACGAUGAUUGCUAGUUGUCGGGCUGCAUGCAGUUCGGUGACGCAGCUAACGCAUUAAGCAAUCCGCCUGGGGAGUACGGUCGCAAGAU
rnacentral:rRNA from 1 species